AUGCCGGGUUGAAAGUUGAAAUUAAUAAAGAUAUAUGCUGUAUACAAUCUGUAUAAAUAGUAAAUACUAAAUUCACUGAUCUACAGAUACGAGUAGGUGUAUUUAAUAAAUAAAAUAAAUAAACAAAUAAAUUGGACGGCGUUCGUGAAAAAGGGUAUAAGUCAAAUAAUUUAGUUAUAGCUUUUGACACUUUUAUCAUCCAGCGUUGUCUACCAGCUACCUAAUAAUAUAUUAUUUUAUUAGAUUGUAGUAGUUGUGCAAUUCUGAAGGAGAUUUACUUACCUAUAACUAUAUGGCUAUAUAACUAUGGCAAUAUAUCAGUACCUAGUUCUCAACCGGGGUGACAGGAAAAAUCAACCAGAAAAGGAAAAAAAAUUUAAAAAUAAAUACAUUUUUUUCGAAAAAAAAAUCAUAUUAAUAUCGGCGUUUUCAACGUUUUUUCUGUGUACUGUAUUUCUUUUUUUUUUAAUAAUAGAAUCAUUUUUAAAAAUAUACAGCUAAGAUUGUUUAUUAUUUUGAUGCUAAGGUGACGCAGUUUGAUUCUAGUGAUUAAAGGUGACAUGAAUCAAAAAAGUUUGAUAACUUCUGCUAUAUAUGUAUGCAUUCAUUGUUGACGUGUGCAUAAUAUAAACUAUAAUGAUCUAUGAAGCUAAAACAGUGUAAUGAUUUAUAUUUAAAAUAAAAAAAAAAUAAAUUUUACUUGAACAAAAAUUAACAAAGGAAAGUUAAGAAGAAUUGCUAACAUUUGAAAAAAUUUAUAAAUAAGAACAGAAAUUGAAAAAACAUAGGUAAAUAUUAAAUUAAUGAAAAUAAAAACUGAUGUAUAUUGUUUCAAAAUUUUUUGAACGAAAUUGUAACGAUAAGAACAAUAAUUUAAAAAUAGGUAAACACUAAACAUAAGGUGAAUCCACCUUGGGUAAACAGUUUAUUAGUUCUUUAUAUUUAUUAAAAGAAAAUUAAUAAUCAACUAAUCACUUUAUUUAUAGCAAGCAUAUUAUAUUAUCAAUUGUUAUUAAUUAUAUUAGUACGUUAUUAUUUAUUAGUCAAUUUUAGUAUUUUAUUUUUCAUAUAUUUUAAUUAUAAAAGAACCACCUAAAAGUAUAACAGGAUCGUGACGUUACACUAAACAACCACGGAUGUCGGUAUUCGUAUAAUAACGGAAGUAGUCCCGAUAAUAACCAUAGUCUCAAAUAACAGGUAAGUCCCUUAAUAAUUUCUAUUAAUAGAAGUGAAUAAACAAAAUAUUGUCUUAUGGAGUACGCACGGAAUUAUUGUCAGUUGUCACAAUUCAUUUCAUUUAUCAUCAAUCCAUUAAAUAUAGAUCAUGUUUUGCUUCAAAAAUUGCCGGACAACGGUUAUUGCAUCCGCCAAAAACAACAACAACAUUAAUGAAUGCUAUAAUAUCCGAAAACAGGCCCAUUUUGCCCCUUGAUUGUACGGAUAUUUUGUAAUUAUAUAUGUUAUUAUUACACGUAAAGGGCCCAAAAAUCAGAAGGCGGCACUGGAGCGGUGGAGCUCGGCGGCAAGCGAUGACCUACGACACGUCGCAAGACUCGAACCAUAGAAAAGAAUACUAAGAGAAUAACUACGAUUCGAACGUUGGGGCUCGUCGAACUGGACGGUAAUGGUGAACCGCAUGGCCCUCACGCACGUGGAUGUAAAUAAUAUUUAUUUACAUUUAUUAAAAGUAUAAUUUAAAUACAUUGUUUACUGGAUAAUGAGAGCACCGCUGAGUAUUGCAAGACAGUAAAAUGCAUAAUUAAAGCUCAAAAUGUAUUUUUAUGUAUUUUUCUUUAAGAGCUUUCCUUUGUUUAUAUAAAUAAUAUAUAUGCAUACGUUAUAUUACAUAAUAUGUGUAAUAGGUACUUAAAUACCUAAUGUUUUUAUUGUUUAUGGAUAUACAAAAAAACAAUCAUCAACUGUUGACAAUGAUAGGUGUAUAUUUAAAAUACUUGAUUAUAAUAAUUUAAAUUUAAAAUAAUUUGUAAAGAUUAACUAAAAUAAAAUAAAAUAGAAAGAAGUUUACUCCUAUAGUUGAUAGGAUAUUAUGUGGAUGCCAAAAAACUACUAUAAUGGGGAAUAGAGAUUUUUCAAAAUUACUGUUAAUGAUAAUUCAAUAAAUGAUGGCAAUUUUUAUGCUAUUCUCAGAUAUAGAAGUAAACGAUUGAUGAAGCUAGUAAUAUGUCCAGAAAGUUUUAAAA